rnacentral:rRNA from 1 species
UUGGGAAUCUUCGGCAAUGGGGGGAACCCUGACCGAGCAACGCCGCGUGAGUGAAGAAGGUCUUCGGAUCGUAAAGCUCUGUUGUUAAGGAAGAACGAGUGUGAGAAUGGAAAGUUCAUGCUGUGACGGUACUUAACCAGAAAGGGACGGCUAACUACGUGCCAGCAGCCGCGGUAAUACGUAGGUCCCGAGCGUUGUCCGGAUUUAUUGGGCGUAAAGCGAGCGCAGGCGGUUAGAAAAGUCUGAAGUGAAAGGCAGUGGCUCAACCAUUGUAGGCUUUGAAAACUGUGUAACUUGAGUGCAGAAGGGGAGAGUGGAAUUCCAUGUGUAGCGGUGAAAUGCGUAGUUAUAUGGAGGAACACCGGUGGCGAAAGCGGCUCUCUGGUCUGUAACUGACGCUGAGGCUCGAAGGCGUGGGGAGCGAACAGA